CCCAGUCAACCAGCACUCAACUCCGUUACAUUGAGAACAAAUAAUCCAAGGAGCAGCAGUGAGGGGAAAGGCAGGAGGAGGAUGCUGUUCUCUGAUGCAGAUGGGAAAGGCCUCUGGACUGGAGGUUGCCCUGUCCCACAGCAGUCCCCUUCUCCACGGUAUCUCUGUGCCUUGGAGGCAUCGCCAGGAUGGAGCUGUGCCAUGGGCUAACCACAGAGAGUCACAGCAGCAGGAUGGAGGUACAGCAGCACCGGAGUCACCCAUUGCCCUCUGGGCCCAGAUGUGCCUCAAGCUGCCCACUGGAGUCAGGGCGAAGUAAGGAAAGAUCUUGCAGGCCGGUUCGUACUGCGAGGCCAAAAUUACCCUCUGCAUAGGAACACCCCACAAGACCCUGCCAGAAUAAACUGUUUUUUCCUCCCA